rnacentral:sRNA from 20 species
UGUAUCGGAAGCCUGACGAGGAUGAGAACCUCCGGGGGCAAGAGGUUCGACUCGAGCGCAGCGAGAGAACGUUGCGUCAGCAACGGCCCGCAGGGCGAGCCACGCAGUGGCGAGUCAUCCUCUAUCACCGGCAG